rnacentral:tRNA from 1 species
UCCCGUGUGGCUCAGUUGGUAGAGCAUGGCACUUGCAACACCAAGGGUUGUGGGUUUGAUUCCCACGCGGGAC